GAUCUUUUUUUUUUUUUUUUUUUUUUUUUUUUUUUUUUUUUUUUUUUUAAAUUACUUUUUAUAUAUAUUAAAUUCAUCCCAAACUGGGCUUUGGCUUUUGGGCCAGCGAAAUUACACGGAUACAAAAUAGGAAAAGCCCAAAUCGAAGAUUGACGGAAAAAGAAGAUCUGAUCCGGACGGUACACCGGAAAACACGAAAUCUAACCUAGAAGACCGACGCUAACAAGGACGACUCCAUAGCAACAGAGUAUUCGACGACAAGCAAUCAGCCGGAGUUAGCGGUUCUUGCCUCAAGCCAUCGCCGGAAACACGCCACAACCGGAACAUUCCUCUCGGAAAGGUAGAUCUGCCACAACCGAGACCUCUCCUCUCUUCUCCCCUACCUAGCAAGAAGAGAGAACACAAAUCUAACCCUUACCUCCUCCGUCAAGCACCCUCGAACCAACCCGAGCAAACCGAACUUCAGAUCCGGCGAAGAGAAAGCCAAACACGGCGGCGGCAGAUGGAAGAGGCUCAAACUAUCCACAAACCACACAGAUCCGGCCAAAGAAACCCGCAUCUAGCCAUCUAAGAUCCUGCCAAAGAUCUACCGUUAAUCUCUUCGCAAAGUGAUGAAACCCACCAAUCCAAAGCCCAACUUCCGCCGCAAGCCAGAGCUACAUCUCUGAAGCCACCGAGCCGAGAGAGACAGUCCCAGAACCGCCAGCGUCCUUGACCAGCAGAACGCAGGAACCGCACCUCCAAGCAGCCGAGAAGAAGAGCCACCAACUUGCAUCGAGCAGAGGAUCCAACCACACCACACAUCACCGGAGAAGAAGGCGCCCACCACCGCUUCAAACCCUGACCCAGCCACCGGCGAUGAAGAACAUAAAGCUACGGCGGCUGCGACUCGAGAAAACCCUAGAUCUAAAACAGAGGAGAGAAAAGAGAGAAAAGGAAAGGAACGAUUGUCCA
rnacentral:lncRNA from 1 species